rnacentral:rRNA from 1 species
UAUGGCCAUUCCACCCUGAACACGCCCGAUCUCAUCUGAAGCUAAACAGGGUCGGGCCUGGCUAGUACUUGAAUGGGAGACUAUUCAACAUAGUGUUGGAAGUUCUUCCAUAGCAAUCAGGGAAGAGCAAGAU